AUCUGGUGGUGUGGGCAACAAGAACAUAAAUUCUUGAAUCUCUCCCAAUAUUCGUAGACACUCUCCCCAUAUUGUUGCUUGCUGCCAGAAAUCUCCUUCCUUAUGGU